rnacentral:rRNA from 1 species
UACGUAGGUGGCAAGCGUUGUCCGGAUUUAUUGGGUUUAAAGGGUGCGUAGGCGGUCAAGUAAGUCAGCGGUGAAAUCCGGCAGCUCAACUGUCGAUGUGCCAUUGAUACUGCAUGACUUGAGUACUGAUGAGGUAGGCGGAAUUGACGGUGUAGCGGUGAAAUGACUUAGAUAUCGUCAAGAACACCGAUAGCGAAGGCAGCUUACUAAGCAGUAACUGACGCUGAUGCACGAAAGCGUGGGAGCAAACAGG